GAUGAACGCUGGCGGCGUGCCUAAUACAUGCAAGUCGAGCGAACAGACGAGGAGCUUGCUCCUCUGACGUUAGCGGCGGACGGGUGAGUAACACGUGGAUAACCUACCUAUAAGACUGGGAUAACUUCGGGAAACCGGAGCUAAUACCGGAUAAUAUAUUGAACCGCAUGGUUCAAUAGUGAAAGACGGUUUUGCUGUCACUUAUAGAUGGAUCCGCGCCGCAUUAGCUAGUUGGUAAGGUAACGGCUUACCAAGGCAACGAUGCGUAGCCGACCUGAGAGGAUGAUCGGCCACACUGGAACUGAGACACGGUCCAGACUCCUACGGGAGGCAGCAGUAGGGAAUCUUCCGCAAUGGGCGAAAGCCUGACGGAGCAACGCCGCGGGAGUGAUGAAGGUCUUCGAAUCGUAAAACUCUGUUAUUAGGGAAGAACAAAUAUGUAAGUAACUAUGCACGUCUUGACGGUACCUAAUCAGAAAGCCACGGCUAACUACGUG
rnacentral:rRNA from 1 species